rnacentral:rRNA from 1 species
GAUGAACGCUGGCGGCGUGCCUAAUACAUGCAAGUCGAGCGAACGGACGAGAAGCUUGCUUCUCUGAUGUUAGCGGCGGACGGGUGAGUAACACGUGGAUAACCUACCUAUAAGACUGGGAUAACUUCGGGAAACCGGAGCUAAUACCGGAUAAUAUUUUGAACUGCAUGGUUCAAAAGUGAAAGACGGUCUUGCUGUCACUUAUAGAUGGAUCCGCGCUGCAUUAGCUAGUUGGUAAGGUAACGGCUUACCAAGGCAACGAUGCAUAGCCGACCUGAGAGGGUGAUCGGCCACACUGGAACUGAGACACGGUCCAGACUACUACGGGAGGCAGCAGUAGGGAAUCUUCCGCAAUGGGCGAAAGCCUGACGGAGCAACGCCGCGUGAGUGAUGAAGGUCUUCGGAUCGUAAAACUCUGUUAUUAGGGAAGAACAUAUGUGUAAGUAACUGUGCACAUCUUGACGGUACCUAAUCAGAAAGCCACGGCUAACUACGUG